rnacentral:lncRNA from 1 species
GAAAAUACAGUACUGUACUUGUAUGUAUUGGUUGCUUCACAAUACAACAGAGAAUAAACUGCCCAAAUACCCUUAAACAAAGGAAAAGUACGUAAUUUAUGAAGGCAUAGAGCCUUUAUGAAAAUGAAAAUUAAUGAAUACGCACUGUACAGUAAUUUACCUGAUAAGACAGACCUCAGAAAAAUACUUUAUGAAGGCAUAAAGCUAUCUAUAAUGAACGGGUCUGCCCGCGGGGGAUUUUUCGCCCUGCCAGAGUGUGGCCGAGUUAUCCGGAGUGCCGGCUUAUCGAGAGCCGAGUUUGCUGGGCUUUACUGUAUUGCAUUAUAUAUAUAUAAAAUCAAUUACUAGUCACAUAGCAAUUCAUUUUAUAAGGGAACAUGUUAUAUGGCAGUUUACUGUAAUUACCGAUUAAUUCAACUAUAUUCUUAAUACAAAAUACAGUACAGUAAGGGUCGCCUGCUUACAAUGGUUAAUUUGUCUCAAAUUUCUACAUAACUUGAAAGACUAAAUAAAA